rnacentral:sRNA from 1 species
CGCUUUGCAGGCGCUCUUCUCCUCCUCCCAAGGUCGCCUGCGGGAACAGCAGCACUCCUCCUCCCAGCUGCUGUUCGGUUCUUCUAGAAAGCCUGCCGCACCUCCUCCCGCGGCAGGCUUUUUCG